rnacentral:rRNA from 1 species
GUACACUCCUGCGGGAGGCAGCAGUGGGGAAUAUUGGACAAUGGGCGCAAGCCUGAUCCAGCCAUGCCGCGUGAGUGAUGAAGGCCCUAGGGUUGUAAAGCUCUUUCACCGGUGAAGAUAAUGACGGUAACCGGAGAAGAAGCCCCGGCUAACUUCGUGCCAGCAGCCGCGGUAAUACGAAGGGGGCUAGCGUUGUUCGGAUUUACUGGGCGUAAAGCGCACGUAGGCGGACUAUUAAGUCAGGGGUGAAAUCCCGGGGCUCAACCCCGGAACUGCCUUUGAUACUGGUAGUCUUGAGUGCGAGAGAGGUGAGUGGAAUUCCGAGUGUAGAGGUGAAAUUCGUAGAUAUUCGGAGGAACACCAGUGGCGAAGGCGGCUCACUGGCUCGAUACUGACGCUGAGGUGCGAAAGCGUGGGGAGCAAACAGGAUUAGAAACCCGUGUAGUCCCAUGAU